CUACGGGGCGCAGCAGUGAGGAAUAUUGCACAAUGGAGGAAACUCUGAUGCAGCAACGCCGCGUGGAGGAUGACGCAUUUCGGUGUGUAAACUCCUUUUAUGAGUCAAGAAAAUGACGGUAGCUCAUGAAUAAGCGCCGGCUAACUCCGUGCCAGCAGCCGCGGUAAUACGGAGGGUGCAAGCGUUACUCGGAAUCACUGGGCGUAAAGGACGCGUAGGCGGGAUAUCAAGUCAGGUGUGAAAUCCUACAGCUUAACUGUAGAACUGCACUUGAAACUGGUAACCUAGAGUAUGGGAGGGGGAGAUGGAAUUAGUGGUGUAGGGGUAAAAUCCGUAGAUAUCACUAGGAAUACCUAAAGCGAAGGCGAUCUCCUGGAACAUAACUGACGCUAAGGCGUGAAAGCGUGGGGAGCAAACAGGAUUAGAUACCCUUGUAGUC
rnacentral:rRNA from 1 species